rnacentral:rRNA from 1 species
CUAACACAUGCAAGUCGAACGGUAACAGGAAGCAGCUUGCUGCUUCGCUGACGAGUGGCGGACGGGUGAGUAAUGUCUGGGAAACUGCCUGAUGGAGGGGGAUAACUACUGGAAACGGUAGCUAAUACCGCAUAACGUCGCAAGACCAAAGAGGGGGACCUUCGGGCCUCUUGCCAUCGGAUGUGCCCAGAUGGGAUUAGCUAGUAGGUGGGGUAACGGCUCACCUAGGCGACGAUCCCUAGCUGGUCUGAGAGGAUGACCAGCCACACUGGAACUGAGACACGGUCCAGACUCCUACGGGAGGCAGCAGUGGGGAAUAUUGCACAAUGGGCGCAAGCCUGAUGCAGCCAUGCCGCGUGUAUGAAGAAGGCCUUCGGGUUGUAAAGUACUUUCAGCGGGGAGGAAGGCGAUAAGGUUAAUAACCUUGUCGAUUGACGUUACCCGCAGAAGAAGCACCGGCUAACUCCGUGCCAGCAGCCGCGGUAAUACGGAGGGUGCAAGCGUUAAUCGGAAUUACUGGGCGUAAAGCGCACGCAGGCGGUCUGUCAAGUCGGAUGUGAAAUCCCCGGGCUCAACCUGGGAACUGCAUUCGAAACUGGCAGGCUAGAGUCUUGUAGAGGGGGGUAGAAUUCCAGGUGUAGCGGUGAAAUGCGUAGAGA